rnacentral:rRNA from 1 species
AUUGAACGCUGGCGGCAGGCCUAACACAUGCAAGUCGAACGAGUGGCGGACGGGUGAGUAAUGUCUGGGAAACUGCCUGAUGGAGGGGGAUAACCACUGGAAACGGUAGCUAAAACCGCAUACCAUCGGAUGUGCCCAGAUGGGAAUAGCUAGUAGGUGGGGUAAAGGCUCACCUAGGCGACGAUCCCUAGCUGGUCUGAGAGGAUGACCGGCCAAACUGGCACUGAGACACGAUCCCGAGUCCAAGGAGAGGCAGCAGUGGGGAAUGUUGAACAAUGGGCGCAAGCCUGAUGCAGCCAUUCCGCUUGUGUGAAGAAGGCCUUCGAGUUGUAAAGUACUUUCAGCGGUGAGGCGUUACCCGCAGAAUAAGCACCAGCUAACUCAGUGCCAGCGGCCGCGGUAAUUC